CUAUGGAAGCUAAGUGCAUGUGAUUUAUGUGAAAUUGCUAGAAAUUCGGUUUUACAGUCGGGCUUCUCACAUGCGCUCAAGUCACAUUGGAUUGGUAGAACUUACUAUAAGAGAGGUCCUGAUGGGAAUGAUAUUCAUAAGACGAAUGUACCUCAUAUCCGAGUUGAGUUUCGUGAAAUGAUAUGGAGAGAAGAGAUGCAGCAAGUUUAUUUGGGUAUGGCAGAUUUGCCUGAAGAAUUGGACAAAUGAGGUGCUUUUUGCGGUAUUAUAUUCAAUUCGUCAUGGUUAUUGGCUCAGUUUUCUGAGAACGGUGGGCCCUGUUUCAUCUACCUUAUUUUUCAGCCUGUAACUGUGCAUGCAAAAUCAGAUAUGGGCUUGCUUGGGGGUGGAGGGUUGGACACGAGCUAUAUGAAACUUGGUUAGAACAACACACCAUCUGUAGGUUAAUGACCGCAAUAAUGGUAGAGGCUGGUGCAUAAUCUUUUCACUCUGAAUGAAGGAGAUUAAAAGAGAAACGGUGAUGAGUCUGAUUGUAGAUUUAUCCUUAAAAACCUGUGAACAGUUUAUUAUGAUAUAUCAGCAUGUUUUUCUACAAGUAAUGGUUCUUCCUUCAAGAAAUCCAUAGUCACAUAUUCAUAGGCCUUCGUGUUUUAUUUAUUCAUUGCUUGCUGUAUGGCAGAAAUUUUGUGCUAUUUUUCUUCAUUAUUAUGUUAUAAACCUGAAGGGGCCUAUGUGUCCUUGUUAGCUGAUAAUUUUAAAUAAAUUGGGUUUCUUGUUUAUUUUUUGA